CCGCCUGGGGAGUACGGUCGCAAGAUUAAAACUCAAAGGAAUUGACGGGGACCCGCACAAGCGGUGGAUGAUGUGGAUUAAUUCGAUGCAACGCGAAAAACCUUACCUACCCUUGACAUGUCAGGAAUCCUGUAGAGAUAUGGGAGUGCUCGAAAGAGAACCUGAACACAGGUGCUGCAUGGCUGUCGUCAGCUCGUGUCGUGAGAUGUUGGGUUAAGUCCCGCAACGAGCGCAACCCUUGUCAUUAAUUGCCAUCAUUUAGUUGGGCACUUUAAUGAGACUGCCGGUGACAAACCGGAGGAAGGUGGGGAUGACGUCAAGUCCUCAUGGCCCUUAUGGGUAGGGCUUCACACGUCAUACAAUGGUCGGUACAGAGGGUUGCCAACCCGCGAGGGGGAGCCAAUCCCACAAAGCCGAUCGUAGUCCGGAUCGCAGUCUGCAACUCGACUGCGUGAAGUCGGAAUCGCUAGUAAUCGUGGAUCAGCAUGUCACGGUGAAUACGUUCCCGGGUCUUGUACACACCGCCCGUCACACCAUGGGAGUGGGUUUCACCAGAAGUAGGUAGUCUAACCGCAAGGGGGGCGCUUACCACGGUGGGAUUCAUGACUGGGGUGAAGUCGUAAUCAAGGUAACCGUA
rnacentral:rRNA from 1 species